rnacentral:lncRNA from 1 species
GACUCAACACCAAUUAGCAGCAGUCAGUAGGAGCAUACGAGUUGGUUAUGAGUGGGAAGGGGCUAAUGUAAAUUUGAAAAAUGAUGGUGGCAGAACUGCUCUUCACUAUGCUACUAGCAAGGGUUGGGUGAAAGCUAAAAUUUUGCUUUCUAAUGGAGCAAAGAUCGAUGCAAAGGACAAGGUUGUAACUCCCAUCUUUAGAUUGUUCCGCUUUGGACUUUAAAAAAUAAUCUUAUAUUUUAUCUUUGGUUACUUAUUUAUUGAUGCUUACCCUAUAUAGAUUGGUAGCAAACAGAGUCGCUGGACAUUUGUUUCUACAAAAAUUGCAAUGGUACAUUUCGUCUUUCUUGUUGAUAGUCAAUACCGAAGCGGGAACUACCCUUUCACAUCUAGAUCGUUCGAAUUGUUAGUGGGUAUGAUAGAUCGUUCGAAUUAGGUACAUGAGGUUCGAAUAGUAGGUAGCAUUCUAGGGAAGAACAAGAAGAAUCCGGGCUUGAAAUGGAGAUGAUAAAAGGUUUGAGGGUAUAAUAGUCGUUUACUCGCUUUUUGAACGGUCAAACAAAUGGUCUUCUAACGGAGAGGGACAUUUCGUGAUACAUGGAAACGAAACCACAGGGAGACAUAUUGUAAACUAUAAACUUUGGGGAGGCAUUAUGCCUCCGACCCCCAAACCACAACGAGGACUGCAGGUGGCUUCGAUUUUGCCCUAACUGUAUAAUCAUUCUCCUCCAAUCUUCCUCUCCUCGGAUUAAGGUAAAUUCGAUCAAGGGCGGACAUACAUAUAGCCCAAGGUGGGCGGGCGCACCC